ACGGAGGGUGCAAGCGUUAAUCGGAAUCACUGGGCGUAAAGCGCACGUAGGCCGUUUGGUAAGUCAGAGGUGAAAGCCCGUAGCUCAACUACGGAAUUGCCUUUGAUACUGCUGGACUUGAGUUCGGGAGAGGGUAGUGGAAUUCCAGGUGUAGGAGUGAAAUCCGUAGAUAUCUGGAGGAACAUCAGUGGCGAAGGCGACUACCUGGACCGAUACUGACGCUGAGGUGCGAAAGCGUGGGGAGCAAACAG
rnacentral:rRNA from 1 species